ACGCACGCUGGCGGCGUGCUUAACACAUGCAAGUCGAACGGAAAGGCCCUGCUUUUGUGGGGUGCUCGAGUGGCGAACGGGUGAGUAACACGUGAGUAACCUGCCCUUGACUUUGGGAUAACUUCAUGAAACUUGGGCUAAUACCGGAUAGGAGCUCCUGCUGCAUGGUGGGGGUUGGAAAGUUUCGGCGGUUGGGGAUGGACUCGCGGCUUAUCAGCUUGUUGGUGGGGUAGUGGCUUACCAAGGCUUUGACGGGUAGCCGGCCUGAGAUGGUGAACGGCCACAUUGGGACUGAGAUACGGCACAGACUCCUACGGGAGGCAGCAGUGGGGAAUAUUGCACAAUGGGCGGAAGCCUGAUGCAGCAACGCCGCGUGCGGGAUGACGGCCUUCGGGUUGUAAACCGCUUUCGCCUGUGACGAAGCGUGAGUGACGGUAAUGGGUAAAGAAGCACCGGCUAACUACGUG
rnacentral:rRNA from 1 species